CCAUGCUAGACGGGGAACUAGCGGCACCCUGCACUUGCAAUCCGCUAUAGCAAGGUUGAAUCCCCUACCGAGACUAUAUUUUUUGUGGUCUGCCCUAAACAAGUGGCGUUGAGGGUUGGGCCCUGCGCAACAGGAGCUUAUGAACCGUGUCAGGUCUUGACGGAAGCAGCACUAAGUAAGAAUUCUUGUGUGCCGCAGAACCACCUGGCCUGAGUUAACUAUUUAGGUACCGCAUGAAAGAUCUAGCCGACGUAGGGUGCAUGG
rnacentral:SRP_RNA from 1 species